rnacentral:rRNA from 1 species
AUGGGAGAUGGAGACGGCGAGGGCGAGGAGGACGUCACGGACGAGCUCAGGUUUCAGGAUGCUCAUCGCCAUAUGUCAGGACUCAGGAGUCGAAUCAAAACUGCGGUUCACUAUUCACAUUGGGUCUUCUAUCUGCUGGUAAAAGAACUCAAAGCAUGCUCGACGUGUACUAUUGGAAAAUCAAUAGGAGUGAUGCGGGAAGUCAUGGGAGAAAAUCUUUACAAGGAAGUGAUCGUCGCGGCGCCAAAGGAGGAUGAAGGCGAUUUUGGCUGCAUCGUCAUCUGUGGGAAUGAAGUUCUUCACAGAGUUGCCAACUUCAUGGUAGGCAACCAACCUUCUCUCACUUCUCUUCUUGUUUUGUAUUGCACUGCCUAG